rnacentral:rRNA from 1 species
CCUACGGGUGGCAGCAGUGGGGAAUAUUGCACAAUGGGGGAAACGCUGAUGCAGCAACGCCGCGUGAAGGAAGACGGUUUUCGGAUUUUAAACCUCUGUUCUUAGUGAAGAAUAAUGACGGUAGCUAAGCAGCAAGCCACUGCUAACAACGUGCCAGCAGCCGCGGUAAAACGUAGGUGGCAAGGGUUGUCCGGAAUUACUGGGUGUAAAGGGAGUGCAGGCGGGAAGCCAAGUCAGCUGUGAAAACUACGGGCUUAACUUGUAGACAGCCGUUGAAACUGGUUUUCUUGAGAGAAGUAGAGGUAGGCGGAAUGCCGAGUGUAGCGGUGAAAUGCGUAGAUAUUCGGAGGAACACCGGUGGCGAAGGCGGCAUACUGGGCUUUAACUGACGCUGAGGCUCGAAAGUGUGGGGAGCAAACAGGAUUAGAUACCCGGGUAGUC